UAGGGAAUCUUCGGCAAUGGGGGGAACCCUGACCGAGCAACGCCGCGUGAGUGAAGAAGGUUUUCGGAUCGUAAAGCUCUGUUGUUAAGGAAGAACGAGUGUGAGAAUGGAAAGUUCAUGCUGUGACGGUACUUAACCAGAAAGGGACGGCUAACUACGUGCCAGCAGCCGCGGUAAUACGUAGGUCCCGAGCGUUGUCCGGAUUUAUUGGGCGUAAAGCGAGCGCAGGCGGUUAGAAAAGUCUGAAGUGAAAGGCAGUGGCUCAACCAUUGUAGGCUUUGGAAACUGUUUAACUUGAGUGCAGAAGGGGAGAGUGGAAUUCCAUGUAUAGCGGUGAAAUGCGUAGAUAUAUGGAGGAACACCGGUGGCGAAAGCGGCUCUCUGGUCUGUAACUGACGCUGAGGCUCGAAAGCGUGGGGAGCGAACAGG
rnacentral:rRNA from 1 species